rnacentral:rRNA from 1 species
GUAGGGAGCAAACGCUGUCCGGAUUUAUUGGGCGUAAAGGGCUCGUAGGCGGUUCAACAAGUCGGUCGUGAAAACCCGGGGCUCAACCCCGGGACGCCGGUCGAAACUGUUGUGACUAGAGUUCGGUAGAGGUGAGUGGAAUUCUCGGUGUAGCGGUGGAAUGCGCAGAUAUCGAGAGGAACACCAUUAGCGAAGGCGGCUCACUGGGCCGAUACUGACGCUGAGGAGCGAAAGCGUGGGGAGCAAACAGGAUUAGAUACCCUGGUAGUCCACGCCGUAAACGAUGAACACUAGGUGUGGCGGACUGAUUCAUGUCGGCUGCGCCGUAGCUAACGCAUUAAGUGUUCCGCCUGGGGAGUACGGCCGCAAGGCUA